rnacentral:rRNA from 1 species
AUUGAACGCUGGAGGCAGGCCUAACACAUGCAAGUCGAGCGAGCGGCGGACGGGUGAGUAAGGUAUGGGGACCUGCACGAAAGAGGGGGAUAACGAAUGGAGACGGUGGCGAAUACCGCAUACUAUCGGCAGAAACCAUAUGGGAUUAGCUAGUAGGUGGGGUAAAGGCUCACAUAGGCGACGAUCUCUAGCUGGUCUGAGAGGAUGAUCGGCCACACUGGGACUGAGACACGGCCCAGACUCCUACGGGAGGCAGCAGUGGGGAAUAUUGCACAAUGGGCGCAAGCCUGAUGCAGCCAUGCCGCGUGUAUGAAGAAGGCCUUAGGGUUGUAAAGUACUUUCAGCGGGGAGGCGUUACCCGCAGAAGAAGCACCGGCUAACUCCGUGCCAGCAGCCGCGGUAAUUC